CUGAACAUGAGGGCAAGGAAAUAUUGUCUCAGUUAAGCAUAAAUCAGAAAAUGCUUCUUCACAAAAUCAAAAAGGAUCCAUCCUUACCUCUGUGCAGAAGCAAUCCGACCCAUAGAUGUUGCAGCUCCACCAGGAAUGAGGAAGUGCAGUGGUGGAAACAGGCAGAAUCUGCUGAUUCCAAUUACAGGUUGGAACUCUGAGACCCA
rnacentral:lncRNA from 12 species